CCCAAGAGAAAGGCUGAAGGGGAUGCUAAAGGAGAUAAAUCCAACAUGAAGGACAAACCACAGAAAAGAUCCAAGAGGUUGUCUGCUAAACCUGCUUCUCCAAAGCCAGAGUCUAAGCCUAAAGAGGCCCCUGCAAAAAAGUGAGUGAAGGUACCCAUAGGGAAAAGGGUAAAUGCUAAUGCUGGCAGGGAGGGGAAUAACCCUGCAGAAAAUGGAGAUGACAAAACAGACCAGGCACAGAAAGCUGAAGGUCCUGGAGAUGCC
rnacentral:lncRNA from 1 species